rnacentral:lncRNA from 1 species
GUCAACUCAUCCAACGGCGGCUAGGGACGCUAGCACCACCAAGCCAUUGCUCCGAUCGCACGGCCUGAAUGAGAUUGGACCUUCUAAUUCUUCUUCUUGUUCGUCGUCGUCGGCUGCUCUGGUUCGCCUUCUGGUGGUAGAGGAAGGCGUAGGUGCAGAAGUAGUUGGCGUAGGUGCAGACGGAAAGGUUACAAUUUCGACCCCAUGCCCUCGGAUGGAAGCGAGGAGGAUGAAGGAGACGAAAAUGUUAUAAUUUUGUGUUCCAUGGACGUGGAACAAGUCGUUCCACGGGGAGGCGGAACGAAAAAUUAUCUAAAACUU